ensembl:snRNA U6 U6 spliceosomal RNA
CUAAUGCAGGGGUCUAAAGCACAUAAAAUUGGAACAAUACAGAGAAGAUUAGGCCCCUGCACAAGCAUGACACAAAUUUGUGAAGUGUUCCAUAUUAAA